ACGCUACAUUUAGAAUAUUUUCACCGCUUUAUCUUGCCAUCAGACAGCCCUUCCCGAUGGAGAGCUGAACCAAAAGUAAAACUUAUCUAUGCUCUCUUCAAAGACAGCAGACUCCGUUGACAAAAACGGUAGAGAUAAGUUUCACCUUCAGUUCGUCAGAAAAUAUUCUUAAUUUAUAUAGCGUACACUUAAAUUGAUAUUGAUUCUUUUAGGUGAGUAAAAUCUUCCUGCUGA